GUGCUCCCUUCGGCAGUAUAUAUACUAAAAUUGGAACGAUACAUAGAUUAGCUUGGCCCCUGCACAAGAAUGACACGCAAAUUCAGGAAGCGUUCCCUAUUUUA